UAACAUUAAAAAAUUUAAAAAUAUAUUUUUAGAGUGAUUUAAAUCAUCGAUGUACUGCCUGGCAACGAUUAGAAUUGGAAACUAAUCUAGAGAUACUGUCAACAUUGUUGUUCGAAUGGCUAGAGGGUCUUAAACAUCCGCUUCUUGAUGUUGAUAGUCUCAGUUAUAUUGUCGCGUGGAGUUCAAAGCCGCAGCGGUGUCUUGGAAAAUUGUCCGUCUGCACAAGAUACUUAUUAGAAUAUCUUUUACGAUUUGUUACCCGCUUAAGGCCUGUGACAUCGGAGAGUCAGAGCUUAAUUACUAAGAGACUUAUGGCGGCGCUGACACAACAAACAAUCUGGAUCAAGAAUUCUUUUCAUCCUUCAAAUAAACAUUUUCAGAAAUUGCGACGUGGCACCGCUGGAAAACUAAAUGAAUUUUUCAUUCGCUUGAUGAACUUGAUAGAGGAAGUUAACACUCAAGGAUUGGACAAACCCCCAUGGGCAUCUAAAUGGGAAUUAUUAUCCAAACAUUUGCGUGAUAUGGAUAAUCAGAAAAACAAUGAAUAAGUGUAAUAAAUUGACAUUUAGCAUUCUGACGAAUUUAUUUCUAAUUGCCAAUGAUGUAGGUAUGUCGUUUAUUUUUUGUGUUUUUUUAGAUAUUAAAGAAAAUAAUUUAUAAUUUCUACAACUUUUAUUUACAAUAUGCUAACUCUGUUUAAACUAUAAAAAUGUCUUAUCUGUAAUAACAGCUGUAAAUAGCUAUGCAAGCAGGGUUUGAUACGUUGAGAUUAAAGAGAUAUAAGAAUUUUGUAAUAAUAUAAAAUAUAGUACUGAACAGCAUCUUUUAUUAUUGUAUAUCUUAUAUUAAUAUUGUACAUUAUUGCUGUUCUGCUUGAAAAAAACUUGACAAUCGCGCACUGCAAGAUACUAUUUGUAAGCACUGUUAUUUUUUUAAAUCUGUGAUAAUGUUAGAAAAAUUGACUUCCAAUACCAGCAGCGACUACGUGAAUUUCUAGAUUGCUUAAUUUAAUAAUUAUGUAUUAUAAUUCCUGGAUGCAAUUUUCUCUUGAUUAACUCUGAAUGUUAAUUAUGAUAAUUCUAUAAUAAUUAUUUUUAUAAUAAAGUACAUUAUAAUUUAUCUUUCAAAUUAAAUAUUAACAAAUUUAGUAAAUACGUCGUACACAUUAAACAAUAUUUGAUUAUGUGAAUGAUUAUAACAAAUAAAGAAGAAUAUUUUAUAGCAAUAGCAGUAGGCGCUGGUAAGAUAUUGUACACACUGCUAUUUUCAUACAAAUAUUGCUAUCAGAUUGCGAAGUAAUAGACCAAGACGAGCCUAGAUAGUAAAAUUUGAAAUGCAACAGGCGGUGAAUUACUUGAAAUAUAUUACAUUAAAAAAAAAGAAGCAUAUAUUAGAGUUUUGCAAAAAUCCUUCUGCAUCUCAUUUAUAGUAAAUUCAGAUUUAUUAACAGAUUGAUCCAGAUUAUUCAGAUUUAAUUAACAAUAGCACAUUAUGUUAUCAACUAAUGCAGUAAUUCAAACUGUAGAUAACAUAUUUAUUCAUCUCGUUUUUCUCUCUGAUGCUAAAUUUUAUGUUUAAGCAUCAGUAAUUUUAUGACAAGAUUAUAACAUAUUUUAUGGUAUUUUGAUAUUUAUCAUGUUACAUUAAAUUAUAUCUGCGAUUCUCUACAAACACACACACACACGCACAGGCGUGUAUAUAUAUGUAUAUAUAUAUGUAUAUAUACAUAUAUAUGCGCGCGGGCGCGCGCGUGCAUUACACACAUUUUUUAAAAUUAUGACCCGGAUUUACAUCUCACAAUUAGUACUAAAUGUGAUCAUCUAAGUCUUAUAAUCAAUUUGAUCUAUAUCAUUAAUUGUGAAAUAUAUGAUAUACAUAUCUAGUUCAAAUAAGAUUCAAACAUAUUUGACAAUCACAUUUGAUAUAAAAUGUAGUCAUGAAAUCUAUAUCUUCUCAAUAAAUAAAAUGGACAUUAGAAAAAUAUAUUUUCUUGAUGUUUGAUAAUAACGUAUGCAAAAAUUAUUAUAUACAGAUCAAUAUCAAAUAUUGUUUAAUAAUAAUAUGCUUGAAAUAAUAAAAAAAUAAUAAAAAGCUUUAUACCAGAUAGUGAUAACAAGUAGCAAGAAGUGUUUAAGAUCCCUUUAUUAAAUGCAUUAACAUAGGGAAUUUGAAAACAGAAUUCUUAAAGAGCACAAAGUUCUUGUUUUUUAUAUAUAUCGCAGUUUUAUUAAGUAUAUAUCCUUUCAAGAUAAUUCUAUAUCAGCUAAGAUCUUAAUACUAACGCUUAUAUCGAACUAGAAAAUGCGAUUCCGUAAAUUCUCUAUUUACAGUAUGAUAUAAGUGUUUCCUGCAAUCUAUAUAUAGACAUAUAUAUUCUCUAAAUACAUUAAUUUACGUAUAUAAAUCUCGAUACGUCUAACGGGAUUAUCAAGCAUUAUACAAACGAUAUCAGUCUUAUACAAAGAAAGUACGGUGAAAAUGAUAAUUUAUUGGUACUUACAAUUAUUAAUUUUAAUCGCGACUACUUCUAUGCUCCGUCAUUACCAUUUUCGACGUAAAGAACGGAGGUUGAUAAAAAUAUAGUUGAAGAGAACUUGUGCAUGGUUUUCUUUCAGUAACACAUUUAAUUUCUUAGUAAAAUCGGUACAUUUUUACAAGACAACUUAUCAUACAAAUACUUAACAAAGUAAUUCAGACAAUAAACGUUCUAGAAAAUUUUGCAAUAAUUUUCAAUCUGUGCCAGCGGUCUCCUCUAUUCGAUCGAUUAUACGGUCUAUUUUCGUGAAAUGUAUUUUUUGUUAAAACUCGAAUUGCGAUAACAAGCACCUUGUUUUUUUUCUUCUUACAAAUGUUAUUACAAAUUAUAAAGAAAGAACAAAAAAAAAAAAAUUAGAAAAUGUGGACGCUGAAGAAAUCAUUUCUAAACUUGUUCGAUGGCAGAUUAUAGGUAUAUUUUUUUAUGUUAAAACCGUAUUCGUUUGAACAUUCUUGUAACACGUUUGAUUUCCUUGCAAGGGAAUACUUUAUUUGAUGAGAAUUAUUACGAUGUGUUAUGUACACAUAUUCGUGAGAACGUUGAAUAGGACGCGAUGAAAUUUGUCAUACACGAACAUGCCCGUUUCAAUCAUAGUUGUGCAAUACAUUAAAAUUGCUAUUCGGACAUUAAUUAAUGUAUGUAUAACAAUUACUUAUUCCACAAAAUAUGAUAAACCGUUAUACGUUUAUUUUGUCGGCAUGUUAUACUGAAUUUCACUACAACAGCUUUACACCAGCGAAAGAUGAAGAAUCUGAGAAAGUUUACUUCUUUCAGAAAAAUUUUCUUCUCUCAAUACGAUUGAUUUUUAUCUGCUUAUAUCUCGAUUCAUUUAUUAAAUAAACGUUCGCAUCAAUUUGGCACAGUUCAUGUCGGAUGCUUCGAUCUAUCUGAUAUAAUUGCACAGAACCGCCAUCGCUUUUAUCAGAGCAAAACAAUAAAAUGUCCAGGUAAUGCAUCAGGAGCCUUGAUCGCUUAUCCGGUUCGUUAUCAGCAAUUAUUUUCGAGCAUUUUGCAAAAUCCUACGCGGCACGCGCGAUUAACAGCUAUAAUUCCUAGAGCAUUGUGUAAGCAAAAUAAUGAAAUAAUCGAUUCGCUCGAAGCUUCUCGAAAUGAUCGAUCGUAAUGUCCGCGUAAAUCUAAUAAAUCCAAUUUGCCUUCAUCAAACAAACAUAACAAAAAAAAAAAAAACA